CAGGCCUAACACAUGCAAGUCGCACGGGCAGCAAUGUCAGUGGCGGACGGGUGAGUAUCGCGUAGGAACAUGUCCAGAGGUGGGGGACAACCCCGGGAAACUGGGGCUAAUACCGCAUAUGAGCUGAGGCUCAAAGCAGUGAUGCGCCUUUGGAGUGGCCUGCGUCCGAUUAGGUAGUUGGUGGGGUAAAGGCCUACCAAGCCUGCGAUCGGUAGCUGGUCUGAGAGGACGACCAGCCACACUGGGACUGAGACACGGCCCAGACUCCUACGGGAGGCAGCAGUGGGGAAUAUUGGACAAUGGGCGCAAGCCUGAUCCAGCAAUGCCGCGUGGGUGAAGAAGGUCUUCGGAUCGUAAAGCCCUUUCGGCGGGGACGAUGAUGACGGUACCCGCAGAAGAAGCCCCGGCUAACUUCGUGCCA
rnacentral:rRNA from 1 species